CGAAUGCCAGUAUUGGAGAAAUGAAGACCUACAAUGCACCACCACUCGACGUUCAUGCUGUGGUAAAGUGUGUGUACACGAUUCUUGGUGAGAAUCCUAGACGUCUAGAUCACUGGCAGGAGUGUGUGGUUUUGUUGAGUAAGCUGGGAAGAAAGCAUUGUGAGGAA